CGGACGGGUGAGUAAUGCAUAGGAAUCUACCCAGUAGCGGGGGACAACUUGGGGAAACUCAAGCUAAUACCGCAUACGCCCUACGGGGGAAAGCGGGGGACCUUCGGGCCUCGCACUAUUGGAUGAGCCUAUGUCUGAUUAGCUUGUUGGUGGGGUAAUGGCCUACCAAGGCAACGAUCAGUAGCUGGUCUGAGAGGACGAUCAGCCACACUGGGACUGAGACACGGCCCAG
rnacentral:rRNA from 1 species